AUUGAACGCUGGCGGCAGGCCUAACACAUGCAAGUCGAACGAGUGGCGGACGGGUGAGUAAUGUCUGGGAAACUGCCCGAUGGAGGGGGAUAACUACUGGAAACGGUAGCUAAUACCGCAUACCAUCGGCGGUGCCCAGAUGGGAUUAGCUAGUAGGGGGGGUAACGGCGCACCUAGGCGACGAGCCCUCGCUGGUCUGAGAGGAUGAACAUCCACACUGGAGCUGAGACAGGGUCCAGACUCCUACGGGAGGCAGGAGUGGGGAAUAUGGCACAAUGGGCGCAAGCCUGAUGCAGCCAUGCCGCGUGUGUGACGAAGGCCUUCGGGUUGUAAAGUACUUUCAGCGAGGAUGCGUUACUCGCAGAAGAAGCACCGGCUAACUCCGUGCCAGCAGCCGCGGUAAUAC
rnacentral:rRNA from 1 species